UCUUUCAAAGACAACUAGAUCCCCUCUCUCUCUCUCUCUCUCUCUCUCUCUCUCUCCUACACACACACACACACACUACUACGUACGACGUACGUACGUACUACUACUCUCUCCUCUUCUCUCUACUACUCUACGUACUACUACUACUACGUAACUAACGUAAGUAAGUAANNNNNNNNNNNNNNNNNNNNAGUACUACUUCUAAUAACUUAAACUAAGUAAUUACUUUCUUACUUACUUAAGUAAGUAUACUUAGUUACGUACCUUACUUACUAACGAACAACUAGUACCCUCCUCUCUCUCUCUCUCUCUCUCUCUCUCUCUCUCACACACACACACACACACUCUUAGAGAGAGUCACGAUCUCUCUCUCGUUCUCUCCUCUUAAUGAGUAGCCUCCAUUAAAUUAAAGAAAAUGAGGAUCUUUAAAAUCAAAAAGAGAGAGUUGAUGUAUUUUGAAGAAAGAAGGGAGACGUUUAGCCUAGUCAGAGAUCAACUCUUAAGCUCAGCCAUAUUUUCUUCUCAUAGGACUUCUAUAAAUCUUAGUAUAUUUUUGAGCUCUCGAAAAUCUUAGAGAGAGAAGUAUUGCCUAUAAAGCUUCUCUAUCUCAAAAUUUUCAGCAACACCUUAAGGAGCAAAAGUGUAUCAUUAAUCAGGAAAUUGGGUGUGGGGUGUACCAAGUCUUAGUAAGGUCACUCCAGGCAUCUUCGAGUAAGUUUUUUUAGUAGUUUUAAGUUAAUUUACAAUUUUAUUUUCGAUUUUAUGUAAAUUUUGAGGAACUUAUUUUAUGCCAAAAAUUA
rnacentral:lncRNA from 1 species